rnacentral:rRNA from 1 species
AACGAACGCUGGCGGCAGGCUUAACACAUGCAAGUCGAGCGAAGGCUUCGGCCUUAGCGGCGGACGGGUGAGUAACGCGUGGGAACGUGCCCGAAGGUACGGAAUAGUCCUGGGAAACUGGGUUUAAUGCCGUAUGUGCCCUCCUGUAGCGAUAUGGGAGGGGAAAGAUUUAUCGCCUUUGGAUCGGCCCGCGUUGGAUUAGGUAGUUGGUGGGGUAAUGGCCUACCAAGCCGACGAUCCAUAGCUGGUUUGAGAGGAUGAUCAGCCACACUGGGACUGAGACACGGCCCAGACUCCUACGGGUGGCAG